rnacentral:rRNA from 1 species
GAUGAACGCUGGCGGCGUGCCUAAUACAUGCAAGUCGAGCGAACAGACGAGGAGCUUGCUCCUCUGACGUUAGCGGCGGACGGGUGAGUAACACGUGGAUAACCUACCUAUAAGACUGGGAUAACUUCGGGAAACCGGAGCUAAUACCGGAUAAUAUAUUGAACCGCAUGGUUCAAUAGUGAAAGACGGUUUUGCUGUCACUUAUAGAUGGAUCCGCGCCGCAUUAGCUAGUUGGUAAGGUAACGGCUUACCAAGGCAACGAUGCGUAGCCGACCUGAGAGGCUGAUCGGCCACCCUGGAACUGAGACACGGUCCAGACUCCUACGGGAGGCAGCAGUAGGGAAUCUUCCGCAACGGGCGAAAGCCUGACGGAGCAACGCCGAGUGAGUGAUGAAGGUCUUCGGAUCGUAAAACUCUGUUAUUAGGGAAGAACAAAUGUGUAAGUAACUAUGCACGUCUUGACGGUACCUAAUCAGAAAGCCACGGCUAACUACGUG